ACUGGAGGACCAAGAAGGCGGAGUCUGAUGAAGCAAGACUUUGCUGAUACACUCCUCCUAGAGAACAGGGUUGGAGAGAGCAGCCCAGACUGCAGGGAGUCAUGGGGCUGACUGUACUACCCAACACUG
ensembl:scaRNA